rnacentral:tRNA from 1 species
AGCAGUGUAGCUUAGUGGAUAGAGCAAGGAACUGGGUGUCAGAAGAACCUGGGUUCUAAUCCCAGCUAUGCUA